rnacentral:lncRNA from 1 species
GCCAAGUGCUGUAGGUAGAACUCAGGGUCCGAAAUAGAUUGAAGCCAUCAGAAGCUAAGCCAAACCUAACACUGCGAACAUCAGAGGCAAAAUCAGGAUGCCUAUCAUCAAAUGCUUUUCAUUGAAGACUAUCUGCUGAAUGUCUCAACAUUUUAUCCUUUGUACGUCCUUCAUCAUGCCAUCUCAUUGAUGAAGCUGUUUUUGAUGAUGCAUAAAUUCUUUUCAAUCUAGGUAUAAGAGAAAAGUAACGCAAUACCUUGGCCGAUUUCUUUUUACUCCGUGUUGCAUCCAAUUCAUUCAGUACGUCGUCUCGAUCUUCUUUUUGUGUUAUCUAUCUUGAAGAUCCACAUACAUUGCAUGACUCUUGAUUAGCAUUUUCACCCCGAUAUAACAUACAAUCUUUCGGACAACUAUGAAUCUUUUCGUAUCCAAGAUCCAAUUCCUUUACUACUUUCUUAGCUUCAUAAUACGAUGGUGGUAAACGAGUGCUUUCUGAAAAUGCAUCCUUUAAUAACUUGAGCAGCAUGGUAAAACUCUUCCCAGACCAUCCAUUCAAAU